rnacentral:rRNA from 1 species
GUCGCACGCUUGCGGCGUGCCUAAUAUAUGCAAGUCGGUUUUAGUGUCGAACGGGUGACUCACAAGUGGGUAACCUGCCCAUCUGAAGGGGUUAACACCUCGGAACAGGUGCUAAUACCGUAUCCUGAUGGUUCGACCAGCGGUGCAUUAGCUAGAUGGUGAGGUAACGGCUCACCAAGGCCACGAUGCAGUGCCGACCUGGGAGAGUGACCGGCCACAUGGAGACUGGGACAAGGCCAGAACUCCUGCGUGAAGCAGCAGUAGGGAAUCAUCGGCGAUGAACUAAAGUCUGUCCAGCCAACGCCGCGUGAGAGAAGAGGGUUUACGGGUCGUAAGACUCUGGUGUAAGAGAAGAGAUAUUUAACCAAUAGGCCACGACUAACUACGUGCCAGCAGCCGCGGUAAUAC